ACAAAGAAGUAAAAAUACACUUAGCUUCGACCUAAAUAAUAGAAUUUAAAUUCUCUUGUU
rnacentral:tRNA from 1 species